rnacentral:rRNA from 1 species
UGGGGAAUUUUGGACAAUGGGCGAAAGCCUGAUCCAGCCAUGCCGCGUGAGUGAAGAAGGCCUUCGGGUUGUAAAGCUCUUUUAGUCGGAAAGAAAGAGUUGCAAUGAAUAAUUGUGAUUUAUGACGGUACCGACAGAAAAAGCACCGGCUAACUACGUGCCAGCAGCCGCGGUAAUACGUAGGGUGCGAGCGUUAAUCGGAAUUACUGGGCGUAAAGGGUGCGCAGGCGGUCUCGCAAGUCAGAUGUGAAAGCCCCGGGCUUAACCUGGGAAUUGCGUUUGAAACUACAAGGCUAGAGUGCAGCAGAGGGGAGUGGAAUUCCAUGUGUAGCAGUGAAAUGCGUAGAGAUGUGGAAGAACACCGAUGGCGAAGGCAGCUCCCUGGGUUGACACUGACGCUCAUGCACGAAAGCGUGGGGAGCAAACA